GACGAACGCUGGCGGCGUGCUUAACACAUGCAAGUCGAACGGAAAGGCCCCCAUCUUGGUGGGGGUGCUCGAGUGGCGAACGGGUGAGUAACACGUGGGUGAUCUGCCUUGUACUUCGGGAUAAGCUUGGGAAACUGGGUCUAAUACCGGAUAGGACCAUGAUUUAGUGUCUCAUGGUGGAAAGAUCAUUGUUUUGGUGCAGUAUGAGCUCGCGGCCUAUCAGCUUGUUGGUGGGGUAAUGGCCUACGAAGGCGUCGACGGGUAGCCGGCCUGAGAGGGUGGACGGCCACAUGGGGACUGAGGUACGGCCCAGACUCGGACGGGAGGCAGCGGGAGGGAAUAGUGAACAAUGGGAGCAAGCCUGAGGCAGCGACGCCGCGUGAGGGAUGACGUCCGUCGGGUUGUAAACUCCUUUCGUUAGGGACGAAGCCGCACUUUUUUUGGGUGUGGUGACGGUACCUUUGUUAAGAAGCACCGGCUAACUACGUG
rnacentral:rRNA from 1 species